rnacentral:ncRNA from 2 species
GCGGCACCCUAGGGGGGUCCCGACAAGGGGCUGAGAGUCUGAUGGCACGGCGGCCGCGACGGCCACGGGCAGCGCAGUGACCCUUUGAACCUGAUCCGGAUCAUGCCGGCGAAGGGACAGGACCGCAGUGCUUUC